GACACCUUAAUCCAACAUCGAGGUCGCAAACCCUUCUUUCAAUGUGAACUCUCCAGAAAGAUUACGCUGUUAUCCCUGUGGUAACUUUUUCCGAUAAUCAACAAUGCUGGAUCACUUGUUAGUAAACCAAAAUUCUACAAAUUAACAGAGAAGCUUUUCAUGUUCCCUAGUCACCCCAACUAAAGAUGUAAGAAUAAAUUUAAAAUCCUCUAUUCUAAUAGAAACAACCCCUUUAUUCCACACUAAAGCUCAACAGGGUCUUCUCGUCCCUCAGCUAAAUCUAAGCCUUUUCACUUAGAAGUUAAUUUUUAAAUAUUCCAGAAGAGACAGCUCAGCCCUCGUCAAACCAUUCAUACCAGCCUCCAAUUAAAAGGCAAGUGAUUGUGCUACCUUUGCACGGUCAGUGUACCGCGGCCGUUU
rnacentral:rRNA from 1 species